rnacentral:rRNA from 1 species
UGGGGAAUUUUCCGCAAUGGGCGAAAGCCUGACGGAGCGACACCGCGUGGAGGACGAAGUUUUUCGGAAUGUAAACUCCUUUCGACAGGGACGAAAAAAAUGACGGUACCUGUAUAAGAAGCAUCGGCUAACUACGUGCCAGCAGCCGCGGUAAUACGUAGGAUGCAAGCGUUGUUCGGAAUUACUGGGCGUAAAGAGUACGUAGGCGGUUAGAUAAGUCUGUUAUUAAAGACCGAAGCUCAACUUCGGGAAUGUAAUGGAAACUGUUUGACUAGAGGUCAGAAGGGGAAAUCGGAAUUCUUAGUGUAGCGGUGAAAUGCGUAGAUAUUAGGAAGAACACCAGUGGCGAAAGCGGAUUUCUGGUCUGAAACUGACGCUGAGGUACGAAGGCGUGGGGAGC